CCCGCUGAACUUAAGCAUAUCAAUAAGCGGAGGAAAAGAAACUAACAAGGAUUCCCCUAGUAACUGCGAGUGAAGCGGGAAGAGCUCAAAUUUAAAAUCUGGCGUGCCUCUGGUCGUCCGAGUUGUAGUCUGGAGAAGCGUUUUCCGUGUUGGACCGUGUAUAAGUCUCUUGGAACAGGGCGUCAUAGAGGGUGAGAAUCCCGUCUUUGACACGGACUACCAAUGCUUUGUGAUGCGCUCUCAAAGAGUCGAGUUGUUUGGGGAAUGCAGCUUCAAAAUGGGGUGGUAAAUUUCCAUCCAAAAGCUAAAAAUAGGCGAAGAGACCGAUUAGCGAACAAGUUACCGUGAGGGAAAGAUGAAAAAGCCUUUUGGAAAGAGAGUUAAAACAGUACGUGAAAUUGCUGAAAGGGAAACGCUUGAAGUCAGUCAUGUCUGCCAGGACUCAGCCUCGCUUCUGCUUGGUGUACUUUCUGGUUUGAUGGGCCAACAUCAAUUUUGACCGUUGGAGAAAGGCUUUGGGAAUGUGGCACCCUCGGGUGUGUUAUAGCCCAUUGUUGUAUACGACGGUUGGGAUUGAGGACUGCAGCACGCCUUUAUGGCCGGGGUUCGCCCACGUACGUGCUUAGGAUGUUGGCAUAAUGGCUUUAAGCGACCCGUCUUGAAACACGG
rnacentral:rRNA from 1 species